GACGAACGCUGGCGGCGUGCUUAACACAUGCAAGUCGAACGGAAAGGCCCUGCUUUUGUGGGGUGCUCGAGUGGCGAACGGGUGAGUAACACGUGAGUAACCUGCCCUUGACUUUGGGAUAACUUCAGGAAACUGGGGCUAAUACCGGAUAGGAGCUCCUGCUGCAUGGUGGGGGUUGGAAAGUUUCGGCGGUUGGGGAUGGACUCGCGGCUUAUCAGCUUGUUGGUGGGGUAGUGGCUUACCAAGGCUUUGACGGGUAGCCGGCCUGAGAGGGUGACCGGCCACAAUGGGCCUGAGAUACGGACCAGACUCCUACGGGAGGCAGCAGUGGGGAAUAUUGCACAAUGGGCGGAAGCCUGAUGCAGCAACGCCGCGUGCGGGAUGACGGCCUUCGGGUUGUAAACCGCUUUCGCCUGUGACGAAGCGUGAGUGACGGUAAUGGGUAAAGAAGCACCGGCUAACUACGUG
rnacentral:rRNA from 1 species